AAUGGCCGAGUUGAAGGUUUUUGCAGAAGAAAUCCUUAUAGAUUUUACCGAAUAUUAACACAACAAAGUUGAUUAUGCCUACUUCAAACGAAAUCUGCACCAGAGGAAGUAUUUUUUUUUUUAUUUUUAAUAUAUAUCUUAUUAAGGGAAAAUGCCCAUUUAGUACUAAUUCAAACCCCUUAUUUCCCAUUCCAAUGAUAAUCUUUUGCAUUAGCCCAUUCCAAUAUAAGGUAACUAUUUUUAUGCCCAAAUGCACAAAUCUUUACUAAAGUCUUAACAAACCAUAUUAUUUUAAGACUAUUUUGCCCCCACCUCUUCAACAUGAAAAGACUUGGCCGAAACCUCAGACUCCGGUCACCGACCGCAGGACUCCGGUCACAGGCCGCCGGACUCCGAUCACCUGAAUUUCCCCGACCGCCGGAUUCCGGUCACUAGAUUUUUCCCUGUAACCAGUUACUGACCCCCAAUAACCAGUUACUGACCAGUUACUCACACCCAGUAACCAGUUACUGACACCCAAUAACCAGUUACUGACCCCCAAUAACCAGUUACUCACACUCAGUAACUAGUUAUCGACACCCAAUAACCAGUUACUGACCCCCAAUAACCAGUUACUGACUCGUUACUGACACCUAGUAACCAGUUACUGACCUUCACUAACUAGUUAGACACUCAGUAAACCGUUACUGACCCCCACUGACCAGUUACUGACACCUAGUAACUAGUUACUGACCCCCUGUAACCAAAUUACUAACCCUCAGUAACCGACUUAUUACCCUCUAAUAUACAUGUUUGUUGUCUUCCCGUUGAUAGAUACAUCAAUAACACAAAAAAUGAAAUCAAUAACUAAUGCUAUACUUGUAAUCACACAUGAAAGAAACUUAUAACUUGAGCAGAAAUAUAUUUUGAGAACAGAAUUGCAACAUACUGCACUUAAUUCACAAGAAAUCACAACACUGCAACCUAGCUAUUCUCUUCAACAAGGUGCGUGCCCACAGUUUGGAUUCGGUAUACCCAGCCGCACAUUUGUAUUCUUCUUUGUACUGCAAACUCAAACAAAUCCCAAUCACAUACAAACACAUAUAUAGAUAGUCAAUGAUACAGAGGAAGGAAGACGGAGAAUUAAACCCUAACCUCGGAGAAAUCAACCUCGACCUUGGAUCUUACUCCUUGAGGAGCGAUGUAGCUGAUCUACACAUUCCGAUCUGUCGAUCCGAAGCCACCACCAUGCAGAUCCGUCAGACGCCAUUGUCACACAGUCCGACUCCACGAGCGGGAGCACAACCAGAAGCGCCAGCGCCUCGCAAUUCUGCUCGGGAUAAGUGGCCGGAGUCAAAGAUCGGCGAGCUCUGACGACGAAGCACGAGCCGGAUCUGGAUUCAAGCACGAGCUGAGGUUCGUCGUGUCGAGGCCGAGGAGCGUCGCCGGCGUGGCUGAGGACCUCGCGGUUCUGCUCGGAAUAAGUGGCUGGAGUCAGAGAUCGGCGAGCUUUGACGACGAAGCACGAGCCAGAUCUGGAUUCAAGCACGAGCUGAGGUUCGUCGUGUCGAGGCCGAGGAGUGUCGCCGGCAUGGUUGAGGAGUGUCGCCGUCGAGGCUUCGACGGUUGAUGCCUUAACACGAGAGAGAGAGAGAGAGAGAGAGAGAGAGAGAGAGAGAGAGAGAGAGAGAGAGAGAAUGAGAGAUAUUAGAUUUGAUUAGAGAGAGAAGAGUUUAAUUAUCAAUACAGGGUAUACUCGUAAUUUUAUUAAAAAUCAUUGAAAUGGGCUAAAAGAAAAGAUUUACAUUGAAAUGGGUAUUAAAAUCCUUGUUUUUGUGCAUUUGGGCAUUUUCUCUUUUAUUAAUAACUCACACACCCUACAUAUGUCAGUGAGGUUUGAACCUAUGAUCUCAAAGUUGUCAGUUAAACACUUUUUUUUUCUUUUUUUUUAGCGAAUUAUCAGUUAAACACCUUAACCAACCAAACCACAGCUCACCAACACACUAGAGGAAG
rnacentral:lncRNA from 1 species